AUGAACGCUGGCGGCGUGCCUAAUCCAUGCAAGUCGAGCGAACAGACGAGGAGCUUGCUCCUCUGACGUUAGCGGCGGACGGGUGAGUAACACGUGGAUAACCUACCUAUAAGACUGGGAUAACUUCGGGAAACCGGAGCUAAUACCGGAUAAUAUAUUGAACCGCAUGGUUCAAUAGUGAAAGACGGUUUUGCUGUCACUUAUAGAUGGAUCCGCGCCGCAUUAGCUAGUUGGUAAGGUAACGGCUUACCAAGGCAACGAUGCGUAGCCGACCUGAGAGGGGGUAGGGCCCCAGAGGAGGUGAGAAGCGAUCCAGGCCCUUAGGGGAGGCCGAGACAGGGAAGGUUCGGAAAAGGGGGGAAGAUUGACGGAGGGGCGGAGGGUGGAUGAAGAAGGUCUUCGGGUGGUAAAACUGUUUUAUGGGGGAAAAACAAUUUUGGAAGGAAAUAAGCGAGUUUGACGGGACCUUAAGAAGAAGCCCAGGCUAAAUACGUG
rnacentral:rRNA from 1 species